CUCGGCUAAAACAGGGAUGGUGAGAGAAGAUUAACCCCAAAAUAUCGAUGUCUAGUUGGAAAUUUCCCGGAGGGUCUCCAGAUCCAAUCAUAUGCUGUUUACUGUGGACAUACUUCACCGCCUGCCAAAGAGAGCAAAUGCCAAGGCAUCUGGGAAUAAGGGAGUCUGCUCCUGGCUGAAGUCUGUUCUCCUACUCUUCCUUGGCCACAGAGCAGGCGUGUUAUGUGUGCUCAGCUGAAUGUGGGAACUUUCAUACUCUGCGGCUCUGACUACCACGAAGUCAUGGGCUGUGGGAUCUAAGCCCAACAGUAAGUCCUCAGCAUCCUUACCAUUAAGCAACUCUUCUUCCUCCUACACAACAUUGAAACAUAACAAGAAAAAGUUACAUCAAGAUUCUCAGCAGACUUGGGAGAAGAAUUACUAAUACUGAACCCAUGAAAAUUAAUGAUUUUCCAGGCUGAGGGAGAUAGGACUCCCCCAGGGAGAUGGGAUGCAUGGACCGAAGCCCCAAAGGUUCACUGACCAGCUAGCCUGUCACAGACAGUGGACAGACAACAUGGAUCCUGUCUCAAGAAAGGUGGAAGAUGAUGGGAGACACCUGAAGGCUACUGACCUACACACAAGGACUGUGGCAAUACCAACCCACAUUUACACACAUGAACACAAACACACACACUAUAUCCCUUUUGCUUCUUUUCAGAUGAAGGUGUCCUUUCAUAUUUCACAGGUGGAUUUUCAUUGAUGACUUUUUGCUAUUCCACCCACCUGGAAAACUGUACGCCAGAAGAAGCCAACUCAGAAGUGGUAACCCCAAAAACAGUAAUCCUAAAAUCAAAUGGCUCACAGCCUUUGAAGAAGCUUAUUUGAUAACAUUUAUGUAAAGAACCCAGGCUCAGAGUUAUAUAGCAGAAUUUAUACUUAGGAGUGAUAGUUGGCACAAAAACUUAACUCUCUUGUAAUGCUGUGGGAAAGAGGCAGGUCUGUAGCAUUUGCCUUCUGGAGCCAAGUACUCUGAGUGAAAUUCAGAGUAACCAUGGUACGAAGUCUAGCAAGAAAACCCUCAAACAAUGUUACUUCGUUUCUUCCCUCCAAAGAAAAGACAGACAGAUUUAAUCAAGGCCUUUGCUACCCAGUCUGUGUCAAGGGCUACAGGAAGUCAUUUGAGAUCAAUUCUCAUUGAACAGUUGUUCUUCUGUUGCCAGCCAAGGCACAGGUGAGCUGUCCUGUGGGGUGGUGUAGUCUCCUCAGGCCCUUUCCUCUCUCCUCUGUCUUCCUAGUCUCCCCCCUCACCACCAUCACUGUAUCAGAUACCGUUUUCUUUGUUCUCUCUUGUGCACAUGCUCCUUCUCCUUCUUGGUCCUCAGGAUGAGCCCUGUCUCCGCCUUUUACUUGUGUUUUCCCCUCUGGUUCCUCUGGUUCAGGAUCAAAGUUGAAGGUAAAGAAAUUAUAGGCUUCUUCUGCAGUGGGGAAGCCAGGAGGGGGCUGCAGAGAAACGGACAGAAAGCAGCUUAGAUGGGGAAACUGAAUGAACCCCACGCAAUUAACUGACAGCUGGCUUGAUGCUAUUGCAGCUCAUGGGGGCCUGUUGACUGUAUUGUCUUCGCUGAAGAUGAACUGAAUUGCAGGUCACAAAUUGUAACCAGUGCACAGGCAGCUGCUGAGUAUUUAAAAUAAGUAACCAUAGUUACUUUUAAAAAUAUUAUUUUAUGUGUGUGAGUGUUUUGGCUGCAUGUAUGUGCACCAUGUGCAUGCAGUGCCCACAGAGACCAGAAGAGGGCAUCCGAUUUCUUAGAGCUGGAGUAACGUAAGUGUGAGUGGUUAUGUGGGUACCAGAAACUGAAUCUGGAUCUUCUAGAAGAGCAGCCAGUGUUCUCAGUAGUUGAGCUAUCUUUCCCCAGCUCUACUUAAAAAAGAGAGAACAAUUAUAUUUCAGUAAGCAUAAAAAUAUAGCAUUUACAAAAGUGAGAGCUACAGGAAAAAUUAUUAAGGUGUCACACACAUAUUCAUUGGUCUAUGGACCAAUGCAAAGAUAGUUUUGUUUAAUAAUGAGAAGUAUAGGAUCUCUUCAUCCUUUUAACAAGUGACAGUUAUUAUUGUUUUAGGUUUUGAGUUGGUACCCUCAUUCCUUCCCCAUCAUGAAAGUUGGGGAACAACCUCUCAGCAUUAUCAUUCCCUGUCCUCCUCCCUCCCCACAAUGAGUCAGAAUUCUAAUCUUGCUUCCAGAACUUUAAAAGUAGAAAUCCAUUCUCCCCCCUCCCAGCUGUAACACACAGCAUGACAAGAGGGGUCAGCUGUACAGAUAUACAUCUGUGCUUAGAUAUUUUUUGAAAAACAGAAACAAACAUCACUUUUAAAGACAGAGUUUCUAACCUGGGGUUUUGACUUGAUUUUUUGUGCAGAAUCACGGAGCUUAAAUCUUGAAUGACUCUGGGAGUCAUCUUCUUGUUGAGUCCUUCCUACCUCUUUACUUGCCUUUGUAAAGGGGUAAAACGACAGAAAUGAAGGUUAUUCUAAGUUUUCUAAAUUGAAGGUUAGUCUUUGUGCUGGCUUAGUUGUCACCUUGACAGAUCCUGUAAUCAGUCACCUGGGAGAGAGUUGUUUUAAUGAUUUACAGAGUCUAGAUCAGAUUGGCACCUGGACAUGUGUGUGUGUGUGUGUGUGUGUGUGUGUGUGUGUGUGUGUGUGUGUGUGUAGGGAUGGGGUGUCUUGAUUGUUGUAGGAAGACAGAGUCCAUUGUGGACAGCACAAUGCCCUAGGCAGGGAGUCUUGAACUAUAUAAGAGUGAUGAAGGUUAGCUGAGUAUAACAGCAAACAAGCAAGCGUGGAGCUGUGCAUUUAUUCUUUAUUUUUCAUUGUGAAUCUGAUGUUCUAAGCUCCUGCCUUCACUUCUCCACAAUGAUGGAUUAUGACUUAGAAUUAUAAGCUAAAUAAGCUCUUUCUCCCUGAAGUUGCUUUUUGUCAGAGAUUUUAUCACAGCAUCAGAAAGGAAACCAGAGUGGUCCUCUAA